UUCACUUUUUCACUUUAGCGAACAUGUUACUCCCUAUAGGGCAACACGCCUCUCCAUGCGGCGGCUAUUGGGGACAAUCUUCUGUGUGUAUCAGAGCUACUGAAGGCUGGAGCUGACAGCAGUAUCAGGAACAAUGGCGGAGAAACGGCAGAAAGAGUGUCUGGCCGGACAUCUCAACUGUUUGUGUCUAAGGUUUUCCAGCAAUACAAAGUAAGGUCAAGAACAAAUACCUUGUACAUAAUUUCUAUCAUUU